CUGUAUUCUCCCAGCAAACACUGGGGCCAUGGCGUCUCUCCUCUAAUGACACCUCAUCAAUCCGCUCCUAUCAAUGUCCCAGCCAUGGAGGUGACUUCGAGUGCUCAGAAGCCUUAGAAAAUGUCAACGUUUUGGGAGAAAAGGAUUUUAGGUUAUAGAGACAAAGGAUUCAUCCUUCAAAAUUUAUAUACAGAAGAACACAUCAGAGUUAGAGAAAUUAGGAACCUUCACUAAACAGAAAGUAAAACUUAAGUUCCAAACACCUUGGCAUGUUCCAAGAUGGAAUGCAAAUAGCAAGGAAGAUCAUGAGUUGCUUACAGGUGCUUACCAGUGGUUCAGUAGUAAAGGUCCACCUGCAUAAUGCAGGAGCUGUGGGAGACCUGGGUUCAAUCCCUGGGUCGGGAAGAUCCCCUGGAGAAGGAAAUGGCAACUCACUGCAGUAUUCUUGCCUGGAGAAUCCCAUGGACAGAGGAGCCUGGUGGGCUACAGACCAUAGGCUUCAGAUGCGACUGAAGUGACUUAGCAGUGGCAGUAGUGAGUAGUUUUAAGUCAGAUUUCGCACAAACUUGUCUUUCAAUAUAUAUCUUUUGCAUACGGUAUAUAUAAAAUGUGUGCUGUCAAAUCUGAAACACCUCAACUGUUGAUUUGAUCUUUAAUCAACUCUCUUUAGAUACAAUUGAAAAACAUGAUUUAUAACAGCAUUCCAGUGUCAAAAUAGAACUUGAAGAGUACCAGAGAGUCAUAAUAAAAAUAGUCUUGGCAGGUAGUAUUAUGUCA
rnacentral:lncRNA from 1 species